rnacentral:lncRNA from 7 species
GGAAGUUUGUUUUUGCUCUGCAGGAUUGAAGGGUUCUCCCUAUGCUGCUUUGAGCGCUGCUAUUGGGUGCCUUGAGGGGACCUCAAGUAAGCUCCAUUUUUGAAACAUGAGUCAAAGCCCCGGUGAAGAUUCUGUGACGGUUCAUUGUAUAAUUUAUGAUGAUGAAGAUUGAGUUGCAUUUUGCGGAAAAGAGAUGUUGAGAUAUCUAAGGCAUUGAGAAAUCUGUCAUGCAGACAUGCACACAGGGAGAGGGAGUACCCAAACUGAUGAGAACUUACAGGAAUUGGACCAUCUAAGCCCUUAGAAAGUGAAGUCCACUGUGUCUCAAACAAAGGAUGGCAAGUGUUCAUGACAUCAAUACUACCCAAGGCUUCAGAGUCAUUGGAUUGCAGGAUGCAGUGACUUAUGAUGAUGUGCGUGUGAACUUCACUGAGGAAGAGUGGGAUUUGCUGGAUCCUUCCCAGAAAAGUCUCUAUGAAGAGGUGAUGCUAGAGACAUACCAGAACAUCACUGCUAUAGGCUACAAUUGGGAAGACCAUCAUAUUGAAGAACAUUGUCAAAGUUCUAGAAGACAUGAAAGGCAUGAAAGAAUUCAUAUUGGAGAGAAACCGUAUGAACGUAACCAAUGGGGUAAAGCCUUUGCAAGUGACAAUCAUCUCCAAAUACGUAAAAGAACAAAUACUGGAGAGAAACCUUAUGAAUGUAAUCAAUGUGGUAAAGCCUUUUCACAACAGAGUAGUCUCCAGUAUCAUAAAAGAACAUAUGCUGGACAGAAACCUUAUGAAUGUAAUCAGUGUGGUAAAGCCUUGUCAUGUCAAAGAAAUCUCCAAUAUCAUAAAAGAACACAUACUGGAGAGAAACCCUAUGAAUGUAAUCAGUGUGGUAAAGCCUUCACACAUUACAAUAAUCUCCGAUAUCAUAAAAGAACACAUACUGGAGAAAAACCUUAUGAAUGUAAUCAGUGUGGUAAAGCCUUUGCACGUUACAAUAAUCUCCAGUGUCAUAAAAGAACACAUACUGGAGAGAAACCUCAUGUGUGUGAUCAAUGUGGUAAAACCUUUGCAUGGCAGUAUACUCUCCAAAAACAUAAAAGAAUACAUACUGGAGAGAAACCUUAUCAAUGUAGUCAAUGUGAUAAAGCAUUUUCAGAACACAGUAGUCUUCAAUAUCAUAAAAGAA